CUCAUGCAAAAGUUAGAUGAUUAAUACUCAAGCAUAGCAACCAGCCAAUAUAUUGUUUAUGUUUGGAUAUACAUUAGUGCGGUGAAAAUAGUUUUUUAAGAUAAAAAACUGUGAUUGAGAUUGGAGAAAACACUAACGGAACGAGCUUACCUGAUGAACCUGGUCAAAAGGAUCGAGAUGACUACAAGAUGGUGAUUUGCUGAAUGCCAAGAAUUUUCAUCCUAAACCUGUUGUUGGACCGAAGGAGUCGUUAACUUUUGAGGAAUUACCAUGAAUAUGGAGGAGCUGCGGCAUGAAAGUGUGAGAGAAUUGUACAAUUAGUACGACCAUUUUAUGAAACAUUCGGAUGAGAUUUUGGAGCCGGUCGGACUGCUCCAAAAACAUCACCCACUGGCCGUAGUGGAAUUGCGACCGAUAUAGUCUGAGCUGCAGCUGCCCUCAAGAGGAACCUUCAAGGCUUCCAGUUGCUUCUAGCGUUAAGAAGCAAAAAAAUAUAAUUGUUUCAGUCUGUCGGAAUUUCCACGUUAAAAAUAUUCCCACGUCGAGGAGCAGCUGACUAGUGCUACUAUUACUGAUCAUUCAGCUAAGGCUAUGGAAAGGAAUAAUGAAAUGUUACCAAGAGGAUCCUUCAUGGGUCCAUUUCUGGUGCUGCCCCGGUUCUUGAUUAGAUUCCCUUUCCGGUGACAAUCGCGGGGGGAACUUCUAUUACUGCUGACAACUUCAAUAAAUUUUGUUAACAUAUUUUAAUUUGAUUUUUGCCCUCAAAAAUUUGUGCCGUGAAUGAUAGCAACAAACCACUCAAGUAACAAACCAACAACUUUUCAAUUGAGGAGAUGGGAAUAUCAGAUUCAAUCAUAUUACAAAAUACUGUUUUGUGUUGGAAUAGAUUUGAAUAAAAUUCAGUUUAUCGAUUUGUAAAAUA